rnacentral:rRNA from 1 species
AACGAACGCUGGCGGCGCGUCUUAAGCAUGCAAGUCGAACGGCAAGAGAGGAGCUUGCUUCUCUCCUAGAGUGGCGGACUGGUGAGGAACACGUGGGUAAUCUACCCUUAAGAUGGGGAUAGCUGCUAGAAAUAGCAGGUAAUACCGAAUACACUCGGCAUGUCACAAGAGAUGUUGAGGAAAGGAAGCUACGGCUUCGCUUGAGGAUGAGCUUGCGUCCCAUUAGCUAGUUGGUGAGGUAAAGGCCCACCAAGGCGACGAUGGGUAUCCGGCCUGAGAGGGUGAACGGACACAUUGGGACUGAGAUACGGCCCAAACUCCUACGGGAGGCAGCAGCUAAGAAUAUUCCGCAAUGGACGGAAGUCUGACGGAGCGACGCCGCGUGGAUGAAGAAGGCUGAAAAGUUGUAAAAUCCUUUUGUUGAUGAAGAAUAAGGGUGAGAGGGAAUGCUCAUCUGAUGACGGUAAUCGACGAAUAAGCCCCG